rnacentral:rRNA from 1 species
GAUGAACGCUAGCGGGAGGCCUAACACAUGCAAGCCGAGCGGUAUUGUUUCUUCGGAAAUGAGAGAGCGGCGUACGGGUGCGUAACACGUGUGCAACCUGCCUUUAUCUGGGGGAUAGCCUUUCGAAAGGAAGAUUAAUACUCCAUAAUAUAUUGAACGGCAUCGUUUAAUAUUGAAAGCUCCGGCGGAUAGAGAUGGGCACGCGCAAGAUUAGCUAGUUGGUGAGGUAACGGCUCACCAAGGCGAUGAUCUUUAGGGGGCCUGAGAGGGUGAUCCCCCACACUGGUACUGAGACACGGACCAGACUCCUACGGGAGGCAGCAGUGAGGAAUAUUGGUCAAUGGGGGCAAGCCUGAACCAGCCAUCCCGCGUGAAGGACGACUGCCCUAUGGGUUGUAAACUUCUUUUGUAUAGGGAUAAACCUACCCUCGUGAGGGUAGCUGAAGGUACUAUACGAAUAAGCACCGGCUAACUCCGUG